rnacentral:rRNA from 1 species
GACGAACGCUGGCGGCGUGCCUAAUACAUGCAAGUCGAGCGGACGAAUCGAAGGCUUGCUUUUGAUUCGUUAGCGGCGGACGGGUGAGUAACACGUGGGCAACCUGCCCUGUAGACGGGGAUAACACCGAGAAAUCGGUGCUAAUACCGGAUAACACGAAAUGUCGCAUGACGUUUCGUUGAAAGACGGCGCAAGCUGCCGCUACAGGAUGGGCCCGCGGCGCAUUAGCUAGUUGGUGAGGUAACGGCUCACCAAGGCGACGAUACGUAGCCGACCUGAGAGGGUGAUCGGCCACACUGGGACUGAGACACGGCCCAGACUCCUACGGGAGGCAGCAGUAGGGAAUCUUCCGCAAUGGACGAAAGUCUGACGGAGCAACGCCGCGUGAGCGAAGAAGGCCUUCGGGUCGUAAAGCUCUGUUGUUAGGGAAGAACAAGUAACGCAGUAACUGGCGUUACCGUGACGGUACCUAACGAGAAAGCCACGGCUAACUACGUG